rnacentral:lncRNA from 1 species
CUUGCUAAAAUGUGGUGCCUACAGAUGAAGCAUACGAUGACUACAAUGAAGAUAAGCUCUAUAUGCCAAAUCUAACCUUUCUCCUUAAAUAUACAGUUGCUGACUUGUGUUUACAUAACCUUUAAAAUGCGGGCGCUCAAAUGCCUGAUUCCUGUGAUUCAAAACCAUUCCAAGCCCGGAUGGUCCCAAGCCUGCCACCUUGCUUCUCGGUUUGUUUUGUGUCGUGCUCUACUCCUAGAGUCAAAGUCUGUUCCUGUAGAGGUUUUGCUGGUUACGUUAGUGGGAACAGAGCAAAGCUUGCCAUGUAUGUGUGAACUGUCUGAAUAAAGCCACUGAAACGGGCUCAUUUCUGUAGCCUGUUUCGAAAUGGAGCCUUCUGAGAACCAAAUCUUUCUCUUCCUGUUUCCAAGUGUCCUGUCUCAGGAUGGAACGAGCCAUUGCAAUAGCUGUAUGUUUAAACCCAAGGGAGGUGUGCUGAUAGGUGGGUUGGAAUUAAUGGGAGAUGUCUUUCUAGGGGGAAAACGCUGGUUUUCUUGGGCUUGGAUCUUCAGCUAGUGCACUUGUGUGGUGUCCGGCAGAAGCAGCUGAUCCUCAUCAUUCAGCAACAGCAGAAGUGAAAUUGCUGUUGCUGUGGAUGACUUGUGAGAUCAGGGCAAACAGGAGACCCCUUCUGGGGUUGGGAAGGGAGGAAAAAGUGGUGAUAGGAACUGUAGGGUGUAAGCCAGCGGGAUGCUGGCGUGGCAGUAACCCGACAGUGUGAUGCUGUGAUUGUUCAUGUCCCGUACACACGCUGCACUGUUACAGUGCUCAUUAGUGAGCUAAAAGGUCAGUACAGGCUUAUCGGUGGGAAAACUUGAAGGAAAAAAGGCUGGGGUUUCUUCAUCAGAACUUAUUGAAGCUUAAUCCCUGGCUAAUGACACUGCAAGAUAAGAAAAGUAAUUAAGAUUCCCUCUAAAAGUGUUCUGUGAUAACGGGGGAACUUGGUGUAGUCAUAGCUACUUCUCAAAAACUAACCCUGAUCCUUCUGAGGGUGUUAUGAAAUGACUUGGAAUUGCAGAAAAGCUUCAAAUUGAAUUUGCAUACACACAGGUUGAAAACUUACCUAAUACUGCACCAUUUAGCCAAUUGCCCAGCUCUGGGGUUUUUAAAAACCAUGUAGUAUAUAGAAGGUGUAAAUUCUAUACAGGCAACAAGAAGAUACAUUUUCAGCUUCUUGCAAAAAA